rnacentral:rRNA from 1 species
AUUGAACGCUGGCGGCAGGCCUAACACAUGCAAGUCGAGCGGAGCCGCGGACGGGUGGGUAGUGCCUUAGUAUCUGCCUGGUUGUGGGGUAUAGCGUCCGGAAACGGGCGCACGUACGCCAAACUAUCACAUGAUCGGAGGUGGGAUUGGCUAGUGGGUGGGGUAAGGGCCUACAAGGGCGACGAUCCGUAACUGGUCUGAGAGGAUGAUCAGCCACACUGGAACUGAGACACGGUCCAGACUCCUACGGGAGGCAGCAGUGGGGAAUAUUGGACAAUGGGCGAAAGCCUGAUCCAGCCAUGCCGCGUGUGUGAAGAAGGUCUUCGGAUUGUAAAGCACUUUAAGUUGGGAGGCGUUACCAACAGAAUAAGCACCGGCUAACUUCGUGCCAGCAGCCGCGGUAAUAC